AGAGCUGUACUUCCUCAUCGCCCGGUACCUAUCGGCGGGCCCGUGUCGGAGAGCGGCCCAGGUGCUGGUGCAGGAGCUGGAGCAGUACCAGUUGUUGCCGAAGAGAUUGGACUGGGAGGGCAACGAGCACAACAGGAGCUACGAGGAGUUGGUGAGCAUUGGGCACGUUUGUUCCCCGGGUUUUCCGUGCACCGCCCCCCGCCCCCCGCCCCUUCCCCUUGCGGGGACCCCGGCCCGUGGGGUGCAAAGUGUGACCCGCACUUGGGGGCGGCCCGGGGAUAGCUGCGUUCCCUGCUGAAGAUGUUUUGUUUUUGAGGCGGCCAGGUUUGUUUUGGCAGGAAACAGUCAUGGGGGGCGGCGCGGGGCGGAGCGGUGGGGGCGACUCGCGGAGGUCCAGCGGGAGGGGUGGGGCUCCAGGUGCCGCCGC
rnacentral:sRNA from 1 species